rnacentral:lncRNA from 1 species
CAGCUAACAGGGCAGAUUGAGCACUAUCAAGAGUCCAAGAUGAACUGAGAGAGCUGCCGUCCACUGCCCUGAGCAGACUGUCCUAACAAAGUCUAGAAGAACGAAAUGAAAGAGGGAAGGAGAGACAGAAAGAAGGCAGAGAAAUAAGGAAGAAACGUCAACAGGGAAGGGAAGAGUUAUUUCCCUUCCCUUCAAAGACAUGGGCUGAUGCUGGCAUUCUCCCUCCACAGCCAGAAUGGUGGCAGGCCUGGACACACAUGAUGGCACCCAGGGAAUGGUGAGGGAAGCUGAGGUUGCAGGCCCUGGCUGAAAGCCAUCUCCCCAGCUCCGAAAGCCGUCUACAGUGUGAGGAGAAGAAAACAUGUUCAAGCUCUAUAGAAUCUAAAAAUCCACAAUUGUAUGAUACCACAAAUAUGAAAACAGAAAAACUAAGGCAUUUCAUCAUUUGUAAGAGGAACUUUUUUCAGAUUUCUGAAAUGGCAACGUAUAUAAUAAGUGAAAUAUGUCCUUUGACUAUUUGCAGUGUUGUUUCAAAAGUGGUCACUCCGUCAGUGUGAAGGCUGUCUACUCUGAACAGUAACUUCAGGCCCUAAGCCGUGAUUUCCUGCUGCUGUUGCUGUCUUUAUUUUGUUUGCAUCUGUUUUUAAUUUUGUGAGUACGGACGUGUGGGUUCAGGUACCUGUGCAUAUGGUGUCAUCUACUCAUUCUCCAACUUUCUUUGGUAUUUUUGAUGUGGGAUGUAGACUAGAAU